rnacentral:misc_RNA from 1 species
UAUUAAUGUCUGGGUAUGUUGAAGAAUGGAAAUUUGUGAUUGUAUCGGUUCUGGGUAUGUGAAUUUUGUGCUAAAAACUCUUUUUCUAAGUAAAUUUCGGGAUUUUCCGUGCUCAGAGGGUUCUUCGGUGAUUGAUUAAGGAAGUUGGUUGUUGAAUUUUGGUUUUCGAUGGUAUUGUUGGGGAUCUCUUCUUAAAUGUUUAUUUCUGAGGGUAGUG